rnacentral:rRNA from 1 species
GAUGAACGCUGGCGGCGUGCCUAAUACAUGCCAGUCGAGCGAACGGACGAGAAGCUUGCUUCUCUGAUGUUAGCGGCGGACGGGUGAGUAACACGUGGAUAACCUACCUAUAAGACUGGGAUAACUUCGGGAAACCGGAGCUAAUACCGGAUAAUAUUUUGAACCGCAUGGUUCAAAAGUGAAAGACGGUCUUGCUGUCACUUAUAGAUGGAUCCGCGCUGCAUUAGCUAGUUGGUAAGGUAACGGCUUACCAAGGCAACGAUGCAUGGCCGACCUGAGAGGGUGAUCGGCCACACUGGAACUGAGACACGGUCCAGACUCCUACGGGAGGCAGCAGUAGGGAAUCUUCCGCAAUGGGCGAAAGCCUGACGGAGCAACGCCGCGUGAGUGAUGAAGGUCUUCGGAUCGUAAAACUCUGUUAUUAGGGAAGAACAUAUGUGUAAGUAACUGUGCACAUCUUGACGGUACCUAAUCAGAAAGCCACGGCUAACUACGUG